rnacentral:rRNA from 1 species
GAUCCUGGCUCAGAAUCAACGCUGGCGGCGUGCCUCAGACAUGCAAGUCGAACGAUUAAACUUUCCUUCGGGAAAGAUAUAAAGUGGCGCACGGGUGAGUAACACGUAAGUAAUCUACCUUCGAGUGGGGAAUAACAUCGGGAAACCGAUGCUAAUACCGCAUAAUGCAGCGGCAUCGAAAGAUGACAGUUGUUAAAGGAGCAAUUCGCUUGAAGAGGAGCUUGCGGCAGAUUAGCUAGUUGGUAAGGUAAUGGCUUACCAAGGCUUCGAUCUGUAUCCGGUCUAAGAGGACGGUCGGACACACUGACACUGAAUAACGGGUCAGACUCCUACGGGAGGCAGCAGUCGGGAAUUUUGGGCAAUGGGCGAAAGCCUGACCCAGCAACGCCGCGUGAAGGAUGAAGUAUUUCGGUAUGUAAACUUCGAAAGAAUGGGAAGAAAUCAAUGACGGUACCAUUUAUAAGCUCCGGCUAACUACGUGCCAGCAGCCGCGGUAAUACGUAGGGAGCAAGCGUUGUUCGGAUUUACUGGGCGUAAAGGGCGCGUAGGCGGCAAAUUAAGUCAGCUGUGAAAUCUCCGAGCUUAACUCGGAACGGUCAGCUGAUACUGAUCUGCUAGAGUGCGGAAGGGGCAAUCGGAAUUCUUGGUGUAGCGGUGAAAUGCGUAGAUAUCAAGAGGAACACCUGAGGU